rnacentral:rRNA from 1 species
GGGCUCAACCUGGGAAUUGCGGUGGAUACUGGCAGGCUAGAGUACGGUAGAGGGUGGUGGAAUUCCCGGUGUAGCAGUGAAAUGCGUAGAGAUCGGGAGGAACAUCUAUGGCGAAGGCAGCCACCUGGACCAGUACUGACGCUGAGGCACGAAAGCGUGGGGAGCAAACAGGAUUAGAUACCCUGGUAGUCCACGCCCUAAACGAUGCGGACUGGACGUUGGGCUCAAUUGAGAGCUCAGUGUCNANUCUAACGCGUUAAGUCCGCCGCCUGGGGAGUACGGUCGCAAGACUGAAACUCAAAGGAAUUGACGGGGGCCCGCACAAGCGGUGGAGUAUGUGGUUUAAUUCGAUGCAACGCGAAGAACCUUACCUGGUCUUGACAUCCACGGNAACCCUUUUAGAGAUAGANGGGGUGCCUUCGGGAANCGUGAGACAGGUGCUGCAUGGCUG